AGAGUUUGAUCAUGGCUCAGAUUGAACGCUGGCGGCAGGCUUAACACAUGCAAGUCGAGCGGAAACGAUGGUAGCUUGCUACCAGGCGUCGAGCGGCGGACGGGUGAGUAAUACUUAGGAAUCUACCUAGUAGUGGGGGAUAGCACGGGGAAACUCGUAUUAAUACCGCAUACGACCUACGGGAGAAAGGGGGCAGUUUACUGCUCUCGCUAUUAGAUGAGCCUAAGUCGGAUUAGCUAGAUGGUGGGGUAAAGGCCUACCAUGGCGACGAUCUGUAGCUGGUCUGAGAGGAUGAUCAGCCACACCGGGACUGAGACACGGCCCGGACUCCUACGGGAGGCAGCAGUGGGGAAUAUUGGACAAUGGGGGAAACCCUGAUCCAGCCAUGCCGCGUGUGUGAAGAAGGCCUUUUGGUUGUAAAGCACUUUAAGCAGUGAAGAAGACUCUUCGGUUAAUACCCGGAGACGAUGACAUUAGCUGCAGAAUAAGCACCGGCUAACUCUGUGCCAGCAGCCGCGGUAAUACAGAGGGUGCAAGCGUUAAUCGGAAUUACUGGGCGUAAAGCGAGCGUAAGUG
rnacentral:rRNA from 1 species